CCUACGGGUGGCAGCAGUGGGGAAUAUUGCACAAUGGGGGGAACCCUGAUGCAGCAAUGCCGCGUGGGUGAAGAAGCACUCCGGUGCGUAAAGCCCUGUCAGCAGGGAAGAAAAUGACAGUACCUGGACAAGAAGCCCCGGCUAACUACGUGCCAGCAGCCGCGGUAAUACGUAGGGGGCAAGCGUUAUCCGGAUUUACUGGGUGUAAAGGGAGCGCAGGCGGCGUGGCAAGUCAGAUGUGAAACCCCGGGGCCCAACCCCGGGAGUGCAUUUGAAACUGCCAUGCUGGAGUGCCGGAGAGGUAAGCGGAAUUCCUGGUGUAGCGGUGAAAUGCGUAGAUAUCAGGAGGAACACCGGCGGCGAAGGCGGCCUGCUGGACUGAAACUGACGUUGAGGCUCGAAAGCGUGGGGAGCAAACAGGAUUAGAUACCCUUGUAGUC
rnacentral:rRNA from 1 species